GACGUAGGGCGCGAGCGUGUCCGGAUUUAUUGGGCGUAAAGAGCGUGUAGGCGGCUUGACAGGUCUGCUGUGAAAACUCGAGGCUCAACCUCGAGAUGUCGGCGGAAACCGUCUGGCUAGAGUCCGGAAGAGGAGAGUGGAAUUCCUGGUGUAGCGGUGAAAUGCGCAGAUAUCAGGAGGAACACCGAUUGCGAAGGGCAGCUCGCUGGGACGUAACUGACGCUGAGACGCGAAAGCGUGGGGGAGCAAACAGG
rnacentral:rRNA from 1 species